CUGCAUGGGCGCAGCCUGAUGCAGCGACGCCGCGUGAGGGAUGAAGGCCUUCGGGUUGUAAACCUCUUUCAGUAGGGAAGAAGCGAAAGUGACGGUACCUGCAGAAGAAGCGCCGGCUAACUACGUGCCAGCAGCCGCGGUAAUACGUAGGGCGCAAGCGUUAUCCGGAAUUAUUGGGCGUAAAGAGCUCGUAGGCGGUUUGUCGCGUCUGCCGUGAAAGUCCGGGGCUUAACUCCGGAUCUGCGGUGGGUACGGGCAGACUUGAGUGAUGUAGGGGAGACUGGAAUUCCUGGUGUAGCGGUGAAAUGCGCAGAUAUCAGGAGGAACACCGAUGGCGAAGGCAGGUCUCUGGGCAUUAACUGACGCUGAGGAGCGAAAGCAUGGGGAGCGAACAGGAUUAGAUACCCUGGUAGUCCAUGCCGUAAACGUUGGGCACUAGGUGUGGGGGACAUUCCACGUUUUCCGCGCCGUAGCUAACGCAUUAAGUGCCCCGCCUGGGGAGUACGGCCGCAAGGCUAAAACUCAAAUGAAAUUGACGG
rnacentral:rRNA from 1 species